ensembl:snRNA U6 U6 spliceosomal RNA
GUGCUCGUUUUGGCAGCACAUAAAAUUGGAGCGAUACAGACAAGAUUAACAUGACCCCUGCACAAGGAUGACGUGCAAAUUUGUGAAGCAUUGGUAUUUAAA